rnacentral:misc_RNA from 1 species
GAGCGAAGAGUGACCAUUAUGUGACUCCGUUAAAACUCAUCAUCCAAAGCCAGUUGCAUGCUACCAAUAAUUUAAACUAUUAUUUACAGUUAAAGGAUGCUAAAAAUUCGUAUCGGUUUACUAAAAUAGAUUAAAUGAACAAACGGAGUGACUCUUGUUAUUUAGACUUUAUACUUGAAGCCCUUCCAGUCAAAAAGUAAUUAUAUCAAACGUACGGACAUUUGGCAACUGAAAUAACAACAUACAAGACUUCAUUCAAAAGUUUAGGUUCUUUUGGUCUUACGGAAAAGGAUUAUUUAUUUACAAUGGAUGACACGAGAGAUGAAUUGGAUCGCACUUUAGCCCGUUUAGAGGCUGUUUGGGAUGACAUUGGUCUCAAUGAAGAACAGCGGAGAGAAAGGCGUCAUCACUUUAAUGGACACAUUGUUAAUUUGUGUGAAAAAAUAAUUGAUGAUGAGACCGCUUUAAAAACAAGAAUUACAAACAACAUUGAACGUAAUACUCAAGAGAUCCUAAAACUGAGUGAGGGUCUUGGGAUAGUCCCAGAGGAUGCGGUAGAGGGUUUGACCUUAUUGGAUUUAGACACAUUUCUUCAAGAGAGAGUGGAUCAACUUCAACAGCUAAAGGAACAGCGAUUGGAUACUCUGAAGCUUUUGCAAGAAAAGGAUGAAGGAAUUUGUGAAUUACUUUGUGAAACCCCAUAUUAUAUUCCUGCUGGCCUGAUUCCAUCACUUGAAGAUAUAAAGAGUGUUGAAGAACAUGUGAAAUCCAUGGAAACAGAAAAGGAAGAACGAGAGAAGAAUUUUAGAAGUCUGAAGGCAGGGAUACUGAAAUUCCUGGAGCUUCUAGAACAGCCACCAGACGAUUCUUUCUGCCAAGAUAUAAUUUGCUCUGAUGAUGAUGAUUUUCCCCUGGGAAAAGCAUAUUUGCAACAGAUGAGGGGUGUUCACAGUGACCUUGAGUUCCGUGUUAAUGAAAAUGAGGCUAAAUCAUUAGAACUUCGGGAGAAAAUCAACUGGCUGUGGAUUGCUUUAGAAAUACCAGUUGAAGAACAACAGGCUUUCCUCUCUACGGCGCCUAAGCACACUCCCUCAAAUAUUGCAAAGCUAGAGGAAGAGCUAGAGAGACUCAGAUUGCUACGCCUUCAGAAUCUGUCUGUAUUCAUAGAGAAGUUACAAGAAGAACUAGCUACUUGGUGGGAGAAAUGCUAUGUUGGAGAGGAAGAGAGGAAGAAGUUUCUGGAUCAGCAAGCAGAUGAAGCAAGUGAGGAGGUUCUAGAAGCAUAUGAAAAAGAAGUCUUUAAGUGGAAGAAACACUAUGAAGCCAAUGAGGAUAUUUAUAUAUUGGUUACACAGUUUAUGGAUCUUUAUAAUCACAUGUUGGAGUUAGAGGAACGGGCCAAGGAUCCUAGCCGUCUUUUCAACACAAGAGGUGGAGCGCUGCUGCUCGAAGAGAAGGCUAAGAAGAAAGUGAGAACUGAGCUCCCGAGAGUCCAGGAGACUUUACUUGAGAGUGGCAAUGCUUGGGCUCAGCAGGAGGGAAGACCCUUCCAUAUUAAUGGUGCACCUUUGGAAGAUUAUAUUCGAGUGCUUUGGGAGAAUUAUGAUAUAAAGAAAGAGGCAGAAAAAAAUAAAAGACAAGUUAAAGGGGCUAGUGAGGUGAAACGCCCAGCUCUACAUAACCCCAAAACUCCAGCUGGACUCGCAAGUAGUAAGAAAAGGUGUCGUGAAGGUGAAGAUACAGCAAGCACAAAAAAGAUGAAACAGCAUGGUGGUCAGGGUGUAUCUCUGUUUAAGUCCCCUUCAAAAUCAACACUACGCUCACCUACCAAGACGCCCAGAACUAGACCGCUUACGGAACGUAAUGGCCUACUCUGUCCACCAACGCUGUCAUCCAUUGAUACGAGCCUACAAACCACUAUCUCAUAUGACAGAUUUGAAGACAACUUAAGAAGUAGCAGGGAAUGUCUCAACAGUACAACUCUUGACCAAGCUAGUUCAGAAGCAGAGAAGUCAUUCUUAUAGCUUAUGUCUGUGCUUUAACCACUAACUGUCUUCGUGCCUGUCUGGGUCCUAAAGGCUGGUAUUGAUGAAAGGUGUAAUGAAGAAAUAAUACAUUCAUCACUCAUGGAUGACCCAUCCCCUGAGAAAAGCCAUCCACCAGAAGAUCAGAUGAGAGUCCGAAGAUUGAAGGAAACCCUUAACCUUGCGUCUCCCCGAAAAGCGCACGUACGAGGCAAGCAGGCCCCUUGGAUGUCCAGAUUACCAACUGAUAAAGGCACUUUAAGACGAGUGGCUUCCCAGCCAUCUUUGCAUUUGAAACAAGGAGCACUGGCUCCACAUGGCAAACCAUUCUUUCAUAAAGGAUUUAGUAAUAA